GCGAAGGUGGCGGAAUUGGUAGACGCGCUAGCUUCAGGUGUUAGUGUCCUUGCGGACGUGGGGGUUCAAGUCCCCCCCCUCGCACCA
rnacentral:tRNA from 4 species